rnacentral:rRNA from 1 species
UAGCCGUAAAACGAUACUCGCUAGGUGUCGGCCACGGUGCGACCGUUGUCGGUGCCGUAGGGAAGCCGUGAAGCGAGCCACCUGGGAAGUACGGCCGCAAGGCUGAAACUUAAAGGAAUUUGGCGGGGGAGCACCACAACGGGUGGAGCUUGCGGUUUAAUUGGAUUCAACGCCGGAAAUCUUACCGGGACCGACAGCAACAUGAAGGCCAGGCUGAAGACUUUGCCGGAUUAGCUGAGAGGAGGUGCAUGGCGUAGUCGUGU